rnacentral:lncRNA from 1 species
UUUUUGUGAGCUUCUCUUAGCGAGUGAUACGUUCCUCAGCGAGAGCUCACUCAACGAGCAUAGGUUUGCUCAAAGUGAGUGGCAAUGCAAAGUUGUUAUUUUUUUCGAUUUAUUAGUAUAUUUUCCGAUUUGCAAUGACUAUUGGUUACUUUUUUGUGGUGUUCGAUACGAUAGUUGACAUGUUUGAGGGAUGUAUGAAUAUAUGUUGUGGAAUGUAUGGAUAGUUGCAAAAAUCGUUGUCUUUACUUAAUGAUGAAUUGGU